GCACUGGAGUAGGCUUUCGAGGGGUGGGGUGGGGGGUGGGAGUGGUCCUGCAGAGGCCAGCAACAGCCAGAUAAUUUAAAAGCAACGCCCCAGGAGAUGGGGUAACAUUACCUCCGGGGUUCGUUUUAGCUCAAAUCUCAAUGGCUCCUUGUAGAGCACACGCACAAAAAAAGCACAAGAAAAUGGGGAGGGGGAAGGUCAUCGCCUCCUGACAAGCAAGGGAGACAAACACUGCGGCAAGAAGAAAAUAGAGACCGAGUUGCAGGGAGACAGCAGAGAAGAAUCCGAGAGUGCGGGUUCGGGGCGGAGAGGACCGGCUCGGAGGGGGCAGCGGCAGUUCCCCAAGGGAAGGAGCUUCUCAGGGCUGUGGAAACACACUCGAUACCGUGUGAGACAGGGCGUUCUUAACUCUGACGGCUGUCAGUCCGAGUGCCCCGCCUCUCCGCGCGUUCCUGUCCAGACCCUCACCCAGGGACUGACUUUCCUUCCUAGGCCCAGAGCCAGUCCUCAAAGAGCAUAUCUUGAGCCUGUUGGCCUUCAGACUGGAAUUCCACCAUCAGCUCUCCUGUCUGCAGCUGGCUGAUUGCAGAGUCUGAGACUCGCUGGCCUCCCAGAUCCCCUGAGCCAACUCUCUGUAAUAAAUCAAUGUCCUCUAUCCCUAUCUGUACAGAUACACCUAUCUGUAGCCCCUCA